rnacentral:rRNA from 1 species
GACGAACGCUGGCGGCGUGCUUAACACAUGCAAGUCGAGCGGUAAGGCCCUUUCGGGGGUACACGAGCGGCGAACGGGUGAGUAACACGUGGGUGACCUGCCCUCAGCUCUGGGAUAAGCCUGGGAAACCGGGUCUAAUACUGGAUAUGACUCCAUGACGCAUGUUGUGGGUGAAAGCCUUGUGCGGCUGAGGAUGGGCCCGCGGCCUAUCAGCUUGUUGGUGGGGUGAUGGCCUACCAAGGCGACGACGGUAGCCGGCCUGAGAGGGCGACCGGCCACACUGGGACUGAGACACGGCCCAGACUCCUACGGGAGGCAGCAGUGGGGAAUCUUGCGCAAUGGGCGAAAGCCUGACGCAGCGACGCCGCGUGA